GAUGAACGCUGGCGGCGUGCCUAAUACAUGCAAGUCGAGCGAACGGACGAGAAGCUUGCUUCUCUGAUGUUAGCGGCGGACGGGUGAGUACCACGUGGAUAACCUACCUAUAAGACUGGGAUAACUUCGGGAAACCGUAGCUAAUACCGGAUAAUAUUUUGAACCGCAUGGUUCAAAAGUGAAAGACGGUCUUGCUGUCACUUAUAGAUGGAUCCGCGCUGCAUUAGCUAGUUGGUAAGGUAACGGCUUACCAAGGCAACGAUGCAUAGCCGACCUGAGAGGGUGAUCGGCCACACUGGAACUGAGACACGGUCCAGACUCCUACGGGAGGCAGCAGUAGGGAAUCUUCCGCAAUGGGCGAAAGCCUGACGGAGCAACGCCGCGUGAGUGAUGAAGGUCUUCGGAUCGUAAAACUCUGUUAUUAGGGAAGAACAUAUGUGUAAGUAACUGUGCACAUCUUGACGGUACCUAAUCAGAAAGCCACGGCUAACUACGUG
rnacentral:rRNA from 1 species